rnacentral:lncRNA from 1 species
CCUCUACUCACCACACCACAACUCAAAGUGUGGUCCUUGCAUGGUCACUUGGAUGGUAAGGCAUGCGCGGCCUUGCACUUCUGAAGGAACCACGAGGUUCCUGCUCUCAGGGCAUUUACACAACAAUUUUAUGAACAAACAGGUUAGCAGAGCACAUCGUUGCAUUCCUGAACGAGAGCUGAAGUUAGCAUCUUCCUCUGAGACCCCAAGUGGUGUCUCUCUAAUGACAAGGGAAUAUUCUUGCACAUGUGCAGAUGUCGGGCAGUGGGCGGCAAGAGAAGGGACAGAGCUGCUUACAUCUGUUUCUUUUGUAACCAAGAGCGAAACUGUGGUGCUCAGGCAGCCCAGCAGGGCCAAUCGGCACAAUGCCCAAACACACCGACAACUUUUGCCUUGGCCUCCUCUUGGCUCUCCCUGCAGCAAACCUGUGAACACA